rnacentral:rRNA from 2 species
GACGAACGCUGGCGGCGUGCCUAAUACAUGCAAGUCGAACGAACUCUGGUAUUGAUUGGUGCUUGCAUCAUGAUUUACAUUUGAGUGAGUGGCGAACUGGUGAGUAACACGUGGGAAACCUGCCCAGAAGCGGGGGAUAACACCUGGAAACAGAUGCUAAUACCGCAUAACAACUUGGACCGCAUGGUCCGAGCUUGAAAGAUGGCUUCGGCUAUCACUUUUGGAUGGUCCCGCGGCGUAUUAGCUAGAUGGUGGGGUAACGGCUCACCAUGGCAAUGAUACGUAGCCGACCUGAGAGGGUAAUCGGCCACAUUGGGACUGAGACACGGCCCAAACUCCUACGGGAGGCAGCAGUAGGGAAUCUUCCACAAUGGACGAAAGUCUGAUGGAGCAACGCCGCGUGAGUGAAGAAGGGUUUCGGCUCGUAAAACUCUGUUGUUAAAGAAGAACAUAUCUGAGAGUAACUGUUCAGGUAUUGACGGUAUUUAACCAGAAAGCCACGGCUAACUACGUGCCAGCAGCCGCGGUAAUACGUAGGUGGCAAGCGUUGUCCGGAUUUAUUGGGCGUAAAGCGAGCGCAGGCGGUUUUUUAAGUCUGAUGUGAAAGCCUUCGGCUCAACCGAAGAAGUGCAUCGGAAACUGGGAAACUUGAGUGCAGAAGAGGACAGUGGAACUCCAUGUGUAGCGGUGAAAUGCGUAGAUAUAUGGAAGAACACCAGUGGCGAAAGCGGCUGUCUGGUCUGUAACUGACGCUGAGGCUCGAAAGUAUGGGUAGCAAACAGGAUUAGAUACCCUGGUAGUCCAUACCGUAAACGAUGAAUGCUAAGUGUUGGAGGGUUUCCGCCCUUCAGUGCUGCAGCUAACGCAUUAAGCAUUCCGCCUGGGGAGUACGGCCGCAAGGCUGAAACUCAAAGGAAUUGACGGGGGCCCGCACAAGCGGUGGAGCAUGUGGUUUAAUUCGAAGCUACGCGAAGAACCUUACCAGGUCUUGACAUACUAUGCAAAUCUAAGAGAUUAGACGUUCCCUUCGGGGACAUGGAUACAGGUGGUGCAUGGUUGUCGUCAGCUCGUGUCGUGAGAUGUUGGGUUAAGUCCCGCAACGAGCGCAACCCUUAUUAUCAGUUGCCAGCAUUAAGUUGGGCACUCUGGUGAGACUGCCGGUGACAAACCGGAGGAAGGUGGGGAUGACGUCAAAUCAUCAUGCCCCUUAUGACCUGGGCUACACACGUGCUACAAUGGAUGGUACAACGAGUUGCGAACUCGCGAGAGUAAGCUAAUCUCUUAAAGCCAUUCUCAGUUCGGAUUGUAGGCUGCAACUCGCCUACAUGAAGUCGGAAUCGCUAGUAAUCGCGGAUCAGCAUGCCGCGGUGAAUACGUUCCCGGGCCUUGUACACACCGCCCGUCACACCAUGAGAGUUUGUAACACCCAAAGUCGGUGGGGUAACCUUUUAGGAACCAGCCGCCUAAGGUGGGACAGAUGAUUAGGGUG